rnacentral:rRNA from 1 species
GAUGAACGCUGGCGGCGUGCCUAAUACAUGCAAGUCGAGCGAACAGACGAGGAGCUUGCUCCUCUGACGUUAGCGGCGGACGGGUGAGUAACACGUGGAUAACCUACCUAUAAGACUGGGAUAACUUCGGGAAACCGGAGCUAAUACCGGAUAAUAUAUUGAACCGCAUGGUUCAAUAGUGAAAGACGGUUUUGCUGUCACUUAUAGAUGGAUCCGCGCCGCAUUAGCUAGUUGGUAUGGUAAUGGCUUACCAAGGCAACGAUGCGUAGCCGACCUGAGAGGGUGAUCGGCCACACUGGAACUGAGACACGGUCCAGACUCCUACGGGAGGCAGCAGUAGGGAAUCUUCCGCAAUGGGCGAAAGUCUGACGGAGCAACGCCGCGUGAGUGAUGAAGGUCUUCGGAUCGUAAAACUCUGUUAUUAGGGAAGAACAAAUGUGUAAGUAACUAUGCACGUCUUGACGGUACCUAAUCAGAAAGCCACGGCUAACUACGUG